GCGAUGACGACUCCCUCUUCUCUCCAUUGACGAUACGACGCCCUCUCUUUCUCCUCUUUCUUCUUCGCUCAAUCAACGACAACAACACCCGCUCUCUCUCCUCUUCCUUAUUAGUCUCCAUCAACAACGACACCCUCUCUCUCAUCUUUCUUCUUUUCACGCAAAGCUCUGUUUUUCAUCUGGUGAGGUAUGUGUUUUCUAGAUCAGAUUCUUAUUUCAAUUUUGUAGAUCUGUUAGGCCAACCUAUAUGGAUCUAACAAUAGAUCCGUUAUUUCAAUUUUCUAGAUCAGAUUCUUCUCAAGCGAAGUUUUUGUAUCUAUUGAUUUAUUAAGACUAUAUGGAUCUAACAAUUCGUUUGGCCAGCCUUGUCAUUGGUGUGGGGUGAAAUGAUUUGGCUUUAAUUCACAUUUAUAAAUAAGUUUUGAACUCUGCUUGAUUGCCUGAAUGGAAGGUUUGGACAUACAUCCUUAAUUCUUGAUCAUUUUUCAUUUUCAUUAGUCUAACGUUCUAAUAUUGGUCUCAUAGAACUUUUGAGAUUGACGAGAUUGCAAAUUGUAACAAUGUAGUUGGUAGGAAUUAAGCUAUUUUUUUAGGUGAAAAACUAUUGUUCCAUGUUCUGAAUUUUCCUCUUGGAAAAGCAUUAGUUUUGCCUCCUCUGUUAUAAACUGCAUCUGUUUGUUGGAGUGUUGGCAGAAACUGCAUUGCAGUUUCUGGUUUCAUAAAGGCAAUGUUACAACUGCUCAUGGAGUUAAAUGUGUUUUUAUCUAAGUUUUAGUACUUUGAACAUGGUUUUCUUUUGGUUUCUAUUCAAAUUUAAGGGUAUGUUAUCACAUAAAGUGCAAUGUUGUUUCUGUUAUUUCAGUUUUUGACUAUAAACUGUAGUGCAGUUUCUUGUUUCAUAAUUCGAUUUCAUACUAAUAUUUGGAUUUCUAUUGGAAUGUUACAACUGCUCAUGUACAUUAUUUAGUGAUUUUAAUUGUUUUCUGUUUUUGUUUGUUGUUUUGUUUGCAUUUUCAAGGCUAAUGGAGGUGUGUGUCAUUGCCAAGUGCACAUAUAAGUCGGAAACCAUCAUGUUUUCAGUUUCAUCAGAGUCAUCCAUGGUUGAUAUUUUGAAGACUUUGUGUCUGAGGUUUAGGGGUUUGCAGUUGGGUUGUUUCACAUUACGGUAUUCGGUGCUCAGUUAUCCGAGUUGUUUUCUAGAAAUGGAUAGCGAUUUGGACUUGAUGAGGACAUUUUUGUUGACAUCAAAUGAGAAGACUGUUGAUAUUUUAGUGAAGGAUUUAUGCGGGAGCAAUGAAUAUAGUGGUGAUUUUUGUGUAAAUAAGGAGUUGAUAGCAUGUGAAAAGGGCGAGUCGUCGUGUUAUGAAAUUGAAUUAUG
rnacentral:lncRNA from 1 species